rnacentral:misc_RNA from 1 species
UUGCACCUUUGAAGAAUAACUAAGCCAUGGAGAUUACCUUGUUAAUAUUCAUAUUAACCCUUUAUCUGUCAAGCCCAAUGUGUGUGGCUGCCAAGUGUCCAAACAGUUGCAUCUGUCAGUGGAACCAAAAGCCUUAUGAUACAUAUGGCAAAUUGUAUCAGGUGUUUUGCCAGGGUAAAAACCUCAUUUCUGUACCAGACUUGACAUCGCUGCUGUCAAAUCUACACCCGAUUCAUCUGGAUCUAAGUGGCAACCAGAUUAAGUCCAUUAAAAAAUCUGACUUCGCUCCCAUGUUGUCAGUUGUGAUACUGAAUCUCGAUUCAAACACUGGAAUUCAGAUGGAAGACAGCACGUUUAUUCACAUGGCUGACACACUGAGGUAUGUGAGCUGUGACAAAACAGAUUUCCAGUUCAACAGGAAUUUUACAUUUUUGAGGGGCUUACAUAGACUUGAGAAACUCACAAUGGGUGAAAACAUUCAAAACCAAAUGACUCUACCCAGCAGUAUCUUUAGUAAUUUUAACCUUCCUUCACUACGUGAAAUUCGGUUCAACCGCUGCAACAUAAAGGACAUAACAGAUGAUGCUUUUAAAGGUGUUGACUUUCUUCAGACAUUAGAUUUAACCUCCAAUCGCCUUCAGACCAUCCCAACAGCCAUCAGAGAUUUGACAAAUCUCAGGACCUUGAACUUGAAACUAAACAACAUUAAAACUAUUCCUAGCUUAAUAUUCCAAGGUCUGCAGAAGCUGGAGCAUAUAGUUCUAGAUGGGAACAGUCCGCUGUCUUUCAAAAAUGGUGCUUUUGCUGGUUUGGAGGAAUCGCUGAAGGAACUUUCACUUCAUAAAUGUGGGCUUGAAGAUGUUCCAAGUCGCCAGAUUCAUCAUUUGAGGGGUCUAAGAAAACUCAAUCUGAAAGACAAUGCACUAACAUACGUUAAUCCAGAUUCCUUUAAUGGGAUGUACUGUCUAUCAGAACUUGAUAUCAGCCGGACACUGUUUCCACUGGAGGCUGGAAUGUUUCAAAGACACAGAGAUUGUUUGAGAAUUCUGAUGCUCAAUGACCGAAACUUGAUCACAGUUUCCAUCCAAAUUCUCGAGGAAUCCAAAAAAAUUGAAAAGAUCAUCUUGCAAGCAAACAAAAUCAAAGUUUUACACCCAAAUGCAUUUGGAGCAGUGCCUGCUACAUUUCUUGAUUUGUCUUACAACCCACUCAUUGAAGUAAAGCAGGGUGCAUUUAACAAUCUGGGAUCUUCACUUACAAUUGCAGUCAAAAAUACCAAACUGAGAGAUAUAAAUUUUGUUCUGGAAUAUAAGAAAAACAAGUUUCAUACCAUUAUGUUUGAAGGUACCAGAAUAGAUUGCAGCUGCAACCUGCCCAUAAUUCUUGGCCUUGUAGAAAGUAGUACUUUGAGAGGUACCUGUUACACUGAUGGCAUCGGCCAUGAUCUGAACAGGAAAAAGGAAAUAAUACUGUUACAAGAAAAAUGUGCCAGAGUGUGGCACAGAAUCAUGGGGAUGGGAUCUGUAAGCACCUCAGAACUGCCCUUACAAGCAACCACCCAGCUGACACAAGUAACAACCCCAGUCAAACGUGAAGACACCUCACUAAGACGCGAACACACUGUGAUAUCAAAAAACACUACAAUGUCUGAAGAACACACUGUAAUGUCAGAACAAACUACCCUGAUGACACAAGAAACCACCACGAUGACACAAGAAUCUACUCCAAUGACACAAGAAAUUACAAUGACACAAGAACCUACUCCAAUAACACAAGAAACUACCCUACUGACACAAGAAACUACUCCGAUGACACAAGAAACUACGAUGGCACAAGAAACUACAGUGACACAAGAAACUACUCCUAUGACACAAGAAACCACUCUACUGACACAAAAAGCUAUUCUGAUGACACAAGAAACUACAAUGGCACAAGAAACAACAAUGACACAAGAAACUACAAUGACACAAGAAACUACUCCGAUGACACAAGAAACCACCCUACUGACACAAGAAACCACCCUAACACAAGAAACUAUUUCGAUGAUACAAGAAACUACUCCGAUGAAACAAGAAACCACCCUACUGACACAAGAAACCACACUACUGACACAAGAAACUUUGAUGACACAAAACCCCAUCCCACUGACACGGGUACGCAGAUCAGUGACAAAAGAAACCACUCCAGUGACACAAGAAACCACUCCAGUGACACAAGAAACCACUCCAGUGAUACAAGAAACCACUCCAGUGGCACAAGAAACAACUCCAGUCACAGAAGAAACCAGUCCAGUGAUACAAGAAACAACUCCAGUGACAGAAGAAUCCACUCCAGUGACACAAGAAACCACCAAGAUGACAGAAGAAACCACCCGGGUGACAGAAGAAACCACCCCGAUGACACAAAAAACUACUCCAAUGACAGAAGAAACCACCCAGAUGACACAAGAAACCACUCAGAUGACACAAGAAACCACUCAGAUGACACAAGAAACCACCCCGAUGACAAAAGAAACCACCCAUAUGACAGAAGAAACCACCUUACUGACACAAAAAACUACUACGUUGACACAAGAAACUAUGACGACGCAAGAAACUACCCCGAUGACACAAGAAACCACCAUACUGACACAAGAAACUACUUUGAUGACACAAGAAACUACUCCGAUGACACAAGAAACCACCCAGAUGAUACAAAAAAACACCCAGAUGACGGAAGAAACCACCCCAAUGACACAAGAAUCUACUCCGAUGACACAAGAAACCACCCAGAUGAUAGAAGAAACCACCCUACUGACACAAGAAACUACUCCGAUGACACAAGAAACUACUCCGAUGACACAAGAAACUACGAUGACACAAGAGACUAUUCCAAUAACACAAGAAACUUCUCCGAUGACACAAGAAACUACUUCGUUAACACAAGAAACUACUCCGAUGACACAAGAAACUAUGAUGACACAAGAGACUACUCCAAUAACACAAGAAACUUCUCUGAUGACACAAGAAACUACUUCGUUAACACAAGAAACCACCCUGAUGACACAAGAAAUUACGAUGACACAAGAAACUACUCCGAUGGCACAAGAAACUACAAUGACACAAGAAACUACAGUGACACAAGAAACUACUCCGAUGACACAGGAAACUACCCUACUGACACAAGAAACUACUCCGAUGACACAAGAAACUACUCCGAUGACACAAGAAACCACCUUACUGACACAAGAAACUACUACGAUGACGCAAGAAACUACUCCGAUGACACAAGAAAUUGCACCAAUAACACAAGAAACUACCCCGAUGACACAAGAAAUUACACCGAUGACACAAGAAUCUACUCCGAUGACACAAGAAACUACGAUGACACAAGAACCUACUCCAAUAACACAAGAAACCACCCUACUGACACAAGAAACUACUUUGAUGACACAAGAAACUAUGACAGCACAAGAAACUACAUUGACACAAGAAACUACAGUGACACAAGAAACUACUCCGAUGACACAGGAAACUACCCUACUGACACAAAAAACUACUCCGAUGACACAAGAAACCAUCCUACUGACACAAGAAACUAUACCAAUGAAACAAGAAACUACCAUGAUGGCAAAAGAAACUACUCCAUUGACAGAAAAAACUAUUCUGAUGACACAAGAAACUACUCCAAUGACACAAGAAACCACUCAGAUGACACAAGAAACCUCCCCGAUGACAGAAGAAACCACCCAUAUGACAGAAGAAACCACCUUACUGACACAAAAAGCUACUACGUUAACACAAGAAACUAUGACGACACAAGAAACUACCCCGAUGACACAAGAAACCACCAUACUGACACAAGAAACUACUCCGAUGACACAAGAAACUACGAUGACACAAGAAACUACCCCGAAAACACAAGAAACCACUAUACUGACACAAGAAACUACUCCAAUGACACAAGAAACCACCCAGAUGACACAAGAAUCUACUUCGAUGACACAAGAAACUACAAUGACACAAGAACGUACUCCAAUAACACAAGAAACUACCCUACUGACACAAGAAACUACUCCGAUGACACAAGAAACUACAAUGGCACAAGAAACUACUCCGAUGACACAGGAAACCACCCUACUGACACAAGAAACUACUCCGAUGACACAAGAAACUACUUCAAUGACACAAACUACGAUGACACAAGAAACUACUCCGAUGACACAAGAAACCACCCAGAUGACACAAAAAAACACCCAGAUGACAGAAACCACCCCAAUGACACAAGAAUCUACUCCGAUGACACAAGAAACCACCCAGAUAAUAGAAGAAACCACCCUACUGACACAAGAAACUACUCCGAUGACACAAGAAACUACUCCGAUGACACAAGAAACUACAAUGACACAAGAGACUAUUCCAAUAACACAAGAAACUUCUCCGAUGACACAAGAAACUACUUCGUUAACACAAGAAACUACUCCUAUGAUACAAGAAACUACGAUGACACAAGAGACUACUCCAAUAACACAAGAAACUUCUCUGAUGACACAAGAAACUACUUCGUUAACACAAGAAACCACCCUGAUGACACAAGAAAUUACGAUGACACAAGAAACUACUCCGAUGGCACAAGAAACUACAAUGACACAAGAAACUACAGUGACACAAGAAACUACUCCGAUGACACAGGAAACUACCCUACUGACACAAGAAACUACUCCGAUGACACAAGAAACUACUCCGAUGACACAAGAAACCACCCUACUGACACAAGAAACUACUACGAUGACGAAAGAAACUACUCCGAUGACACAAGAAAUUGCACCAAUAAUACAAGAAACUACCCCGAUGACACAAGAAACUACACCGAUGACACAAGAAUCUACUCCGAUGACACAAGAAACUACGAUGACACAAGAACCUACUCCAAUAACACAAGAAACCACCCUACUGACACAAAAAACUACUCCGAUGACACAAGAAACCAUCCUACUGACACAAGAAACUAUACCAAUGAAACAAGAAACUACCACGAUGACAAAAGAAACUACUCCAUUGACAGAAGAAACUAUUCUGAUGACUCAAGAAACGACCCAGAUGACACAAAAAACCACUCAAAUGACAGAAAAAAACACCCAGAUGGCAGAAGAAACCACCCAGAUGACAGAAGAAACCACCCUACUGACACAAGAAACCACUCCAAUGACACAAGAAAUUACUCUGAUGACACAAGAAACCAUCCUACUGACACAAGAAACUACACCAAUGAAACAAGAAACUACACCAAUGAAACGAGAAACUACCAUGAUGACACAAGAAGCUACCCCAAUGACACAGGAAACCACCAUACUGACACAAGAAACUACUCCGAUGACACAAGAAACUACUCUGAUGGCACAAGAAAACAUCCUACUGACACAAACAACUACCACGAUGACACAAGAAACUAUUCCGAUGACACAAGAAACUACGAUGACACAAGAACCUACUCCAAUAACACAAGAAACCACCCUACUGACACAAGAAACUACUCUAAUGACACAAGAAACCAUGACAGCACAAGAAACUACAUUGACACAAGAAAUUACCCCAAUGACACAGGAAACCACCAUACUGACACAAGAAACUACUCCAAUGACACAAGAAACUACUCUGAUGGCACAAGAAAACAUCCUACUGACACAAGAAACUACCACGAUGACACAAGAAACUAUUCCGAUGACACAAGAAACUACUCCAAUGACAAAAGAAACCACUCUACAGACACAAAAAACUACUCUGAUGACACAAGAAACUACAAUGACACAAGAAACUACUCUGAUGACACAGGAAACCACUCUACUGACACAAGAAACUACUCCAGUGACACAAGAAACUACUCCAAUGACACAAGAAACCACCCUACUGACACAAGAAACUACUCUGAUGGCACAAAAAACUACAAUGACACAAGAAACUACUCCGAUGACACAGGAAACCACCCUACUGACACAAGAAACUACUCUAUUGACACAAGAAAGUACACCAAUGACACAAGAAACUAUUCUGAUGACACAAGAAACCACCCUUCCAAUACAAGAAACUACUCGGAUGUCACAAGAAAGUACACCAAUGACACAAGAAACCACCCUACUGACACAAGAAACUACCCCGAUGACACAAGAAAGUACACUAAUGACACAAGAAGCCACCCUACUGACACAAGAAACUACUUUGAUGACACAAAAAACUACUCCGAUGACACAAGAAACUACUCCGAUGACACAAGAAACCACCCUACUGACACGAGAAACCAUCCUACUGACACAAGAAACUACUCCGAUGAAACAAGAAACCAUCCUACUGACACAAGAAACCAUCCUACUGACACAAGAAACUACUCCGAUGAAACAAGAAACCAUCCUUCUGACACAAGAAACCACCCUACUGACACAAGAAACCACCCUACUGACACAAGAAACUUUGAUGACACAAAACUCCAUCCCACUGACACGGGUACGCAGAUCAGUGACAAACGAAACCACUCCAGUGACACAAGAAACCAAUCCAGUGACACAAGAAACCACUUCAGUGACAGACAAAACCACUCUAGUGACAAAAGAAUCCUCCUCAGCGACAGACAAAAACACCCCAGUGACAAAAGAAUCCACCGCAAUGACAAGCAAAUCCACCGCAGUGAUAAAAGAAUCCACCGCAAUGACAAGCAAAUCCACCGCAGUGAUAAAAGAAUCCACCACAGUGACAAAAGAAUCUACCGCAGUGACAAACAAAUCCACCGCAGUAACAAAAGAAUCCACCGCAGUGACAAAUGAAUCCACCGCAGUGACAAAACAAUCCACCGCAGUGACAAACGAAUCCACCCCAGUGACAAAAGAAUCCACCGCAGUGACGAAAGAGUCCACUGCAGUGAUAAAAAAGUCCACCGCAGUAACAAAAGAAUCCACCCCAGUGACAAAAGAAUCCACCGCAGUGACAAAAGAAUCCACCGCAGUGACAAAAAAGUCCACCACAGUGACAAAAGAAUCUACCGCAGUAAAAAAAGAAUCCACCGCAGUGAAAAAAGAAUCCACCCCAGUGACAAAAGAAUCCACCCCAGUGACAAAAGAAUCCACCACCCCACUGACAAAAGAAUCCAUCCCAGUAACAAAAGAAUCCACCGCAGUGACAAAAGAAUCCACCGCAGUGACAAAAGGAUCCACUGCAGUAAUAAAAAAGUCCACCGCAGUGACAAAAGAAUCCACUGCAGUGACAAAAGAAUCCACCCCUGUGACAAAAAAAUCCACCGCAGUGACAAAAGAAUCCACCACAGGGACAAAAGAAUCCACCGCAGUGACAAAAGAAUCCACUACAGUGACGAAAGAAUCCACCGCAGUGACGAAAGAAUCCACCCCAGUGAGGAAAGAAUCCACCCCAGUGAGGAAAGAAUCCACCGCAGUGACAAAAGAAUCCACUACAGUGACAAAAGAAUCCACCGCAGUGACAAAAGAAUCCACCCCAGUGAGGAAAGAAUCCACCUCAGUGACAAACGAAUCCACCGCAGUGACAAAAGAAUCCACCCCAGUGAGGAAAGAAUCCACCCCAGUGACAAAAGAAUCCACAACAGUGACAAAAGAAUCCACUACAGUGACAAAAGAAUCCACCGCAGUGACAAAAGAAUCCACCCCAGUGAGGAAAGAAUCCACCUCAGUGACAAACGAAUCCACCACAGUGACAAAAGAAUCCACCCCAGUGAGGAAAGAAUCCACCCCAGUGACAAAAGAAUCCACCGCAGUGACAAAAGAAUCCACCCCAGUUAAAAAAGAAUCCACCGCAGUGACUAAAGAAUCCACCGCAGUGACAAAAGAAUCCACCGCAGUGACAAAAGAAUCCACUACAGUGAAAAAAGAAUCCACCGCAGUGACAAACGAAUUCACCCCAGUGACAAAAGAAUCCACCACAGUGACAAAAGAAUCCACCGCAAUGACAAAAGAAUCCACCCCAGUUAAAAAAGAAUCCACCGCAGUGACAAAAGAAUCCACCCCAGUGAGGAAAGAAUCCACCGCAGUGACAAAACAAUCCACCGCAGUGACAAAAGAAUCCACCCCAGUUAAAAAAGAAUCCACUGCAGUGACGAAAGAAUCCACCACAGUGACAAACGGAUCCACCGCAGUGACAAAAGAAUCCACUGCAGUGACAAACGAAUCCACCCCAGUGACAAAAGAAUCCACCCCAGUGACAAAAGAAUCCACUGCAGUGACAAAAGAAUCCACCGCAGUGACAAAAGAAUCCACCGCAGUGACAAACAAAUCCACCACAGUGACAAAAGAAUCCACCCCAGUGACAAACGAAUCCACCACAGUGACAAAAGAAUCCACCGCAGUGACAAAAGAAUCCACCCCAGUUAAAAAAGAAUCCACCGCAGUGACAAAAGAAUCCACCGCAGUGACAAAUGAAUCCACCCCAGUGACAAAAGAAUCCACCACAGUGACAAACAGAUCCACCGCAGUGACGAAAGAAUCCGCCACAGUGACAAAAGAAUCCACCCCAGUGACAAAAGAAUCCACCGCAGUGAUAAACGAAUCCACCGCAGUGACAAAAGAAUCCACCCCAGUCACAAAAGAAGCCACCACAGUGACAAAUGAAUCCACCACAGUGACAAAAGAAUCCACCGCAGUGACAAAAGAAUCCACCGCAGUGAAAAAAGAAUCCACCGCAGUGACAAAAGAAUCCACUGCAGUGACAAAUGAAUCCACCCCAGUGACAAAAGAAUCCACCACAGUGACAAACGGAUCCACCGCAGUGACGAAAGAAUCCACCACAGUGACAAACGAAUCCACCCCAGUGACAAAAGAAUCCACCGCAGUGAUAAACGAAUCCACCGCAGUGACAAAAGAAUCCACCCCAGUGACAAACGAAUCCACUGCAGUAACAAAAGAAUCCACCCCAGUGACAAAAGAAUCCACCGCAGUGAUAAAAGAAUCCACCACAGUAACAAAAGAAUCCACCGCAGUGACAAAAGAAGCCACCACAGUCACAAAAGAAGCCACCACAGUGACAAAUGAAUCCACCCCAGUGAUAAAAAAAUCCACCGCAGUGACGACGCCUGCAGAUCCGUAAUGGCUCUUAUGAAAAGAGAGAAAAAUGAAGAGCGACUACUCCAAGAUGAUGACUAACGUGGCAACUUGUACAGCACAAAGUCACAAAGACCACACUACAUAUCCCUCGGAUACUGACUCUCCUGAUGCUUAGUCAGUUUCA